AGGAGGUUGGCUUAGAAGCAGCCAUCCUUUAAAGAAAGCGUAAUAGCUCACUGGUCUAGUGAUUUUGCGCGGAAAAUAUAACGGGGCUAAAGUAAGUACCGAAGCUGUAGACUUGCGCACAACUUAGAUUAUUUAAGUUUAGAAUAUGAGAAACUAAGUUAUAUGUUUAGUUAUAUUUUUACUGAUUUUUAUAGAGUAAAGAUAGAAAUAAAACUUAGUAAAAUCAGUAAAAAUAUUCUUAGACUAAAGUUAAGUAGUUUAAGUUGUGUGCAAGUGGUAGGAGAGCGUUCUAUUUGCGUCGAAGGUAUACCGGUAAGGAGUGCUGGAGCGAAUAGAAGUGAGCAUGCAGGCAUGAGUAGCGAUAAUUAAUGUGAGAAUCAUUAAC
rnacentral:rRNA from 1 species